rnacentral:rRNA from 1 species
UACGGAGGGUGCAAGCGUUGUCCGGAUUUAUUGGGCGUAAAGAGCUCGUAGGCGGCUUGUUACGUCGACUGUGAAAACCCGCGGCUCAACUGCGGGCCUGCAGUCGAUACGGGCAGGCUAGAGUUCGGUAGGGGAGACUGGAAUUCCUGGUGUAGCGGUGAAAUGCGCAGAUAUCAGGAGGAACACCGGUGGCGAAGGCGGGUCUCUGGGCCGUUACUGACGCUGAGGAGCGAAAGCGUGGGGAGCGAACAGG